UGGUCCGUAGCUCAACGGUUGGAGCAGUUGCCUUAUACGCAAAUGGAUGCCGGUUCAAAUCCGGCCGGGCCAA
rnacentral:tRNA from 1 species